rnacentral:rRNA from 1 species
GUACGGUCGCAAGACUAAAACUCAAAUGAAUUGACGGGGGCCCGCACAAGCGGUGGAGCAUGUGGUUUAAUUCGAUGCAACGCGAAGAACCUUACCUGGCCUUGACAUACUAGAAACUUUCCAGAGAUGGAUUGGUGCCUUCGGGAAUCUAGAUACAGGUGCUGCAUGGCUGUCGUCAGCUCGUGUCGUGAGAUGUUGGGUUAAGUCCCGCAACGAGCGCAACCCUUUUCCUUACUUGCCAGCAUUUCGGAUGGGAACUUUAAGGAUACUGCCAGUGACAAACUGGAGGAAGGCGGGGACGACGUCAAGUCAUCAUGGCCCUUACGGCCAGGGCUACACACGUGCUACAAUGGUCGGUACAAAGGGUUGCUACACAGCGA